rnacentral:lncRNA from 1 species
CUGUCAUCCACAUAAGAUGUGACUUGCUUCUCUUUGCCUUCCACCCUGAUUGUGAAGCCUCCCAAGCCAUGUGGAACUGAGUCUUUCCACCGCUUCAGAACAUGCCUGGUGACCUCAUUUAUGUGAACACUUUAGCCAGAACAAAACUCAGCAAGCCACUGAUGAAUCCAGUGAAAAGGAGAGACCUACUGAGCCUUUGGGAAUGUAUGAUGCCUUGGAUUGGUCCAGGGUUCUGAAGCCUAAGUCACUCAUUGUACGCAGGAAGCCGAAUCUGCUGUGUGGAUGAGGUCUCCUGCUGCUCUGGGACCGUGCUUCACUCCAAGCCUCAGAGGUGGACACCUUUGAUACCAGGGUGACCAAUCCCUGGUCCUGGUCCUACCUACAUGAGAGUGAUAGAGCUCUGGGCUGGGGUACAAUUGAGUGACACACUCUUCCAAGUCCUCUUCCUCCACCACAGAGCACAAUUUCAUAAAGGUUUUGGCUUGCAUUAUAGAUGAGUUGUUCGAGUUUCAAUUGGAGAGAUAAUGCCAUUUAAGAUGAGGAUAACUCCGUGAUGCCUCAGAUGAUUUCAUUGCAGCCUUUGCCUAGACUGCAACAUGGCCAAUAAUGCCACGCCUUGCAUAUGGGUGGCCGUUGUGGCACUUCAGACAUUCUCUAGUAACAGGACCUCGAUGCUGAGAGACAAAAUCUGCAUCCUCACCUGUCAGAUAAGGAGACAGCCCAAAGAGUGAGUGUGGUCACCAGACCAUGCUCUACACGUUAGAACAAAGGACCCCAGAAGCACAUCUGCCCCAGACUCAACCAGAUGGGCUUUGCUGUCCAGACAACAUAGGUGGAGACCUCACAUUUCGAGGGAACGUGGAACACGGAACACUUCAGAUUUUCAACGAUGCUGGAUUUGAGCUGUUCACUUGAAAAUAAAGUCUGUUGCAUCACAAGUGCUGGUUGGCAUCGCUGUCCUCCUAUCAGUGGAUUAAGAAAAGGCACAGCGAAAAACUAGUUUAAAAUCACCAGUCGGAUAUUUUACAGGCGAGGUCCAGCACGAUCACUCACACGGCUGCUGCUAGGCUGGCUCUGCCCGUUAUUCUUCCAUCCUGGCACCAUGCUUCUAAUUUAUCCUGAAUACAUGGAGACUUGAGCACUGAUGGGAUAGAUAAAAAAAACGACAGCAAUCUUCUCUCCAAAAAAGCAACAUAAGACUAGAUAAAAUGGUCAAAAAUAAUCAUUUCAGAAUGAUUCUAGAAAAUGACCAAAGGCAGACAACAAAUUGAGAUGUGUGUUUCGUUUUUUUUGAAUCUACUGGGGCUUGGAAGGAACAGUGGGAGACUAUGGAAUUUUAGCUCAGGGCAGCGUGGUAUAGUUUCACAAUGGAAUACUACUCAGAAAUAAAAGCGAUAAACUGUUGAUACAUGCAACAAUGUGGAUGAAUCUUAAGAUAAUAAUGCUGAGUCAAAGAAGCCAGACAAAAGUAUGUAUAGUGUGAUUCGAAUUAUAUGAAAUUCUACAAAAUAUACACUAAUCUAUAAUGACAGAAAUAGAUCAGGGGUUGCCUGGGGAACUGGGGUGGAGGGUGUGCCAAGAGAGGCAGGAAAGAAGGAUUAUGAAGGGGCAGGAGGAGAGCUUUGGGGAUGGGGAUGUAUUCAUUAUCUUGAUUGUGAUGAUAAAUUCUCCGGUGUACACAUAUAGCAAAAUUUAUCAAAUUAUACACUUUAAACCAUGUGCAGUUUUUGUAUAUGGAUUGUACCAAAAUAAAGUUUUUUAAAGGGAUGCUAAUCAAUGGAUUAUACUACCUGUAGCUUGCCUACACCUCAUCUCCUUCCUCAAAACAGUUAACCUACAGGUACCUAGUAGCUAUUCCAAAACUGCUCCUCGAACUUGUGAAUGAGUAAGAGAAUGAACAAACGCACCCACUUAUCAACCUAUUCUAUGUCCU